rnacentral:misc_RNA from 1 species
GAUGAAGAACGUAGCGAAAUGCGAUAAGUAGUGUGAAUUGCAGAAUUCAGUGAAUCAUCGAAUCUUUGAACGCACCUUGCGCCCUUUGGCUAUUCCGAAGGGCAUGCCUGUUUGAGUAUCAUGAACACCUCAACUCUCAUGGUUUUUCCAUGAUGGGCUUGGACUUUGGGGGUCUUGCUGGCCUAUAGUCAGCUCCUCUUAAAUGAAUCAGCUUGCCAGUGUUUGGUGGCAUCACAGGUGUGAUAACUAUCUACGCUUGUGGUUUUCCACCAGGGUAACCUUCAGCAGUGGAGGUUCACUGGAGCUUACAAAUGUCUCUCCUCUGUGAGGACAGCCCUUUGAAUGUUUGAUCUCAAAUCAGGUAGGACUACCCGCUGAACUUAAGCAUAUCAAUAAGCGGAGGA